rnacentral:rRNA from 1 species
UACGAGAUUAGCGAGUGUCUCGUGGGCUCGGAGAUGUGUAUAAGAGACAGACCUUACCAAAUCUUGACAUCCUUUGACAACUCUAGAGAUAGAGCCUUCCCCUUCGGGGGACAAAGUGACAGGUGGUGCAUGGUUGUCGUCAGCUCGUGUCGUGAGAUGUUGGGUUAAGUCCCGCAACGAGCGCAACCCUUAAGCUUAGUUGCCAUCAUUAAGUUGGGCACUCUAAGUUGACUGCCGGUGACAAACCGGAGGAAGGUGGGGAUGACGUCAAAUCAUCAUGCCCCUUAUGAUUUGGGCUACACACGUGCUACAAUGGACAAUACAAAGGGCAGCGAAACCGCGAGGUCAAGCAAAUCCCAUAAAGUUGUUCUCAGUUCGGAUUGUAGUCUGCAACUCGACUACAUGAAGCUGGAAUCGCUAGUAAUCGUAGAUCAGCAUGCUACGGUGAAUACGUUCCCGGGUCUUGUACACACCGCCCGUCACACCACGAGAGUUUGUAACACCCGAAGCCGGUGGAGUAACCUUUUAGGAGCUAGCCGUCGAAGGUGGGACAAAUGAUUGGGGUGAAGUCGUAACAAGGUAGCCGUAUCGGAAGGUGCGGCUGGAUCACCUCCUUU